rnacentral:lncRNA from 1 species
GCGAGAGUUUAAAAGAAAAAAAAAGAAAUUAAUCUAAACUCAAGUUGAAAUUUACACUACAAUCAUGAUAAAACAAAUGAAAACCAAACUAUAUAACUAAAUGAAUUCAGGUUGCUGUGACUCAGAUCUACUACUCGAUUAACUACCAAAACAAACACUGAAACUAUUCAAAAUUAAUAAAAGAAAACAGUAAGCUAAAACUCGCAGCAAACCGUUUUCAUGACUCGGAAACUAACUGCGACUCGAGACUUAGACUAAACCAAUACAUCGAAACUCAAAACUCUGCUGCAAACUCGGUUAUGGACUAGGAACUAACUCAGAACAAAGAACAAGGGCUGCGACUCGGACAAAGAAUCGAAACUAGCGACUAACUCAAAUAACACUACACAGACUCGCGAGUAAACUAAAACAGCCAACUCAACCAAGAAGAAACAACCACAGAUUACAGAAACGAAGAACAGAUGCUAAAACAAGCCUAUAGACUCGAUAAAAACUAAAGAACGCAGGACAGAUUCAGACUAAGACUCGACUCGAUUACUCUAACGAAAAUAGAGCUCAGAAAGCAAGAAACCCAGAACAACAAAAAUUCAGUCAGACCCUGCAACUACGACGCAAAAGCGAACCCAAACUCGCGAUUCAACAAGCAAAAACCCAGAAAACACAACACAGCAACUCGAUCACAGCUUAAACAUCAGCAACAAAGAAGACUACAACUCGACAAAAACUCAGUGCAAAAACUACAAAACCCAGCAAAAGAAAUGGACUCAAAAACAGGGGACAGACUCUACAACUCGAAACUGACUUAGUACAUCAACAAUCAUCGAACACACUAAGCUAACGACUACCAGACUCGAAAUCAGACCAGUAAACGCAGACAAAACCCAGCAAAUAGAUAAAACGCAGCCAACUCGGACAAAACCAAACCCAGCGACUCAGUGAAUCACUGCGACUCGGGGCACAACUCGCUACAGUGGAACUCGGAAAACAAAGCAAACAAACCCUGAACUGCGAAAUCAACAAACUCAGCAUGUAAGAUUUAACUAAACCCAUCACAAGAGAAAAGAAAACUCAGGAAACGACUCAGUUAAAAGAAAAACUGCUGUGAUUCGGUUUUAAGAAACUCG